AAGCAGGGCAAUGCUGUUCGAUUGGACAUUGUCUGAGUUGGGUGUUCCAGAUAAAGGUAAAGUUUGUGUACAAUGUACAAAUUGUGAGGCAAGCAUCAAAUGUGAAGACUGUUUUGCAUUUUUGUGUCACAUUUGUGACCAAAUGCAACAUUUUCUCAUGCCUUUCCACCACAGAUUAUAUUGGAAAAAUGGCUUUUAUGAGCCAUUAGACCCGACACAAACUGUGUGCCCUGAAGGAAAUAUCUUUCACUGGAAACCUGUUGUACCAGCCCAACCACCAAAUUCUUGCCCCUACUGCACAGAUUGCAAGUUUAAAAUUUCAAGCUCCAGCAAUCUCUGCAUCUUCAACACUAUAAUGGGAAGGUAUGACCUCUAUACUCCAAUCUAUACAUGCCACUGUGGAUAUGAGCAUCAACAACUAGGCAAGACCAUGCACAAGUCUGGUUUCUAUUCAUCAUUAGGAAAGAGCAGCACAUUCUACAGCACCAGUCUGCUUGAAUCAUGGCACCAUAUAAAAAGAAAUUGUCCCGGAACAUCAUUUCGGGCAUUAGUCACUGCACUGGAAUCCUUUGGUGCUUCUCGUGGGCGUAUUGGACCCAUUAAUUAUAUAACUUCGAAGAGAGUGUUCUUCGAAUGGCGAUUCCAGCAAUAUGAGCUGAGAAAAAUUAGAGGAGAAGCUGACAAUGAGUGUCCUGCUUGUGAUAAAACCCCUUUAGCAGUACAUAUUGAUGGCAACAAGAAGCUGUAUCGUUACAACAAAGUUGGGAGAGGUAUCAGAAACCCCUAUUAUUCUGAUAGUAUCUUCAGCAAAGAUGAAGAUGUUCAAGCUCAUGUUGGCACUAUUCAGAGCUUGAAAACUAAGAGUAAGCACACGUGUGGAGUGUCUACAUGGAAAGCUGCUCAAAAUAAGCCUCUUUCAUUCCAAAGUUUGGAUGAAACAGGAAUCAGCAUGGCCUCCUGUCGACAUGGUAUUAUCCUCCACACCUUGAAUAUGUAUCAAGGAGAGCUGUACAGUUAUGCCCACUAUUUGCAAAUUAUGUAUUUCAAAUACGUAAAGUUUAUUUGUCAAGACAUAAUUUGCAAAUAUUGGCCAUGGGCCUUAACUGUGGCUCAGAAACAAUCACAUUUUCACAUUGGUCAAGCAAAGCCAUUUUUAGGAGUCCUACAUGCAAAAGGACAUGCUUGGUAUUGUCAGGUAUUGUAUGGAGGGCGGUGGCAAGAAGGAAGUGGCAUGACUUUAGGGGAAGAGGCAGAGCAAGUGUUUGCAUACCUCUCACGAUACAACUCUACAACUAAAAACAUGCUGAAAGCUGAAAGAACAGAAGAACUCACAGAGGGUGCAGUCUUUUGGAACCAUCGAAAAAUUGAUGGACUGGCUCGUGCAUUAGUUACUCGACUCAGAAAGGCCAGAGAGACGGAAAUAACAGUUUCAAAUGAGAUCGACAAACUUGAUGUUCAAAAGUCAUUGAUUCAAGAAUGGCGAUCUGACCUACAAAUGAUUUGUAAGGAGUUAGAGUUAAACACUGGAACAACCUCGAAGAACAUAAAAUAUUCUAUCGAGGCAGUUGCAGACUCUAUCAGGCAUCGCAAAAAUCUGAUUGCCACUGAUGCAGAAAUGAGUGUGAUAGGAAAAAGCUUCAAGGCUUCAUAAAAAUCUACAAUAGUGAAAACUCUGAAAUUCUCAGUGAAAAGGAUGCAAUAGAAGGUAUCCUGCCAUGGCACAAUUUAUUGCCUCAUCAUAGCCAAAAUGUGUCCCUUGCUCAAAAAAAGAAGGCAGUAGAAGAUGUGGAGCUUCAGAAGAGAUCCAGAGAAGAGCAACAACACACUGUUCAAGAAAUGCUGCAUUAUCUCGCAUAUUACAA
rnacentral:misc_RNA from 1 species